AGGUGUUCCUCGGGGCCUGCCGGGGUCUGUCCUGGCAUCCGCCUCCCUCGUCGUUCCCCGGGACCCGCACGAAGUUGUAAUUCGGGACCCGGCGGGUGUUCCGGACUCUAGGUUAUGCUGAUUGAUAAGAAUAAAUCCUCCUCAAUAAUCAGGAUCUACAUUAGAAAAGUCUUAGGCUUCUGUAUCCUUGAGUAAAGACACACCCUUCUGCCUUUAGCAUUCCUCUCAAGAUGACAUGCCAGUUCAAGGGAAGGCUUUGAACCUCUCAUUCCUGGUGCCAUCUCAUCUGCAUUAACCAGACCACUUAGAUAAGAUGCUGCGGCUUGUCUUAAGUGUAUGCACCCCUGUCCUAAACUCCAGCAGUAUGUAUUACAACUACAAGUGGCUUCUUCAGCAAGAUCUUAGAGUUUCAGCUGCACUUUUUACUGAAUAAUAUAAUUAGCUGCUGUUGUACCUCUUGGUGUAGGCUAAAGCAUCUUUCUCCACUAAUCUGAAAUCUGAAAGAUAAAGAUGGUUAGAACAAAUUCUCCUAGUAUUGUGAUUAUUUUCUGCUCUUUUUUGGACACAAAAGUAGGAUAUGACAUGCUUUUAUGGAAAAUUAUUUAAUAUGUUCAAGUCCAGGGAAUACAAUAACACUUCCAUCACAAUGGGAUUGGAUUAAGUGAUAAAGAAACCCAGCCACAAAUGUGAAGUAGAAAGCCCCUGUUUCAUUACUUUUCUUCUAAUUACCAAAUCAUACAUUAUAAAAACUAAGUCAAUAAUAUUAUUUCAUUUCAAUUUAACAUGAU